UUGAACGCUGGCGGCAUGCCUUACACAUGCAAGUCGAACGGUAACAGGUCUUCGGAUGCUGACGAGUGGCGAACGGGUGAGUAAUACAUCGGAACGUGCCCAGACGUGGGGGAUAACGAGGCGAAAGCUUUGCUAAUACCGCAUACGAUCUAAGGAUGAAAGCAGGGGACCGCAAGGCCUUGUGCGUUUGGAGCGGCCGAUGGCAGAUUAGGUAGUUGGUGGGAUAAAAGCUUACCAAGCCGACGAUCUGUAGCUGGUCUGAGAGGACGACCAGCCACACUGGGACUGAGACACGGCCCAGACUCCUACGGGAGGCAGCAGUGGGGAAUUUUGGACAAUGGGCGAAAGCCUGAUCCAGCAAUGCCGCGUGCAGGAUGAAGGCCUUCGGGUUGUAAACUGCUUUUGUACGGAACGAAAAGGCUCUGGCUAAUACCUGGGGCACAUGACGGUACCGUAAGAAUAAGCACCGGCUAACUACGUGC
rnacentral:rRNA from 1 species